AUUGAACGCUGGCGGCAUGCCUUACACAUGCAAGUCGAAUGGCAGCACGGGAGCAAUCCUGGUGGCGAGUGGCGAACGGGUGAGUAAUAUAUCGGAACGUGCCCAGUCGUGGGGGAUAACGUAGCGAAAGCUACGCUAAUACCGCAUACGAACUAUGGAUGAAAGCGGGGGAUCGCAAGACCUCGCGCGAUUGGAGCGGCCGAUAUCAGAUUAGGUAGUUGGUGAGGUAAAGGCUCACCAAGCCGACGAUCUGUAGCUGGUCUGAGAGGACGACCAGCCACACUGGGACUGAGACACGGCCCAGACUCCUACGGGAGGCAGCAGUGGGGAAUUUUGGACAAUGGGCGCAAGCCUGAUCCAGCAAUGCCGCGUGCAGGAUGAAGGCCUUCGGGUUGUAAACUGCUUUUGUACGGAACGAAACGGUGAGCUCUAAUACAGUUUGCUGAUGACGGUACCGUAAGAAUAAGCACCGGCUAACUACGUGCCAGCCGCCGCGGUAA
rnacentral:rRNA from 1 species